AGCAGCCGCGGUAAUUCCAGCUCCAAUAGCGUAUAUUAAAGUUGUUGCAGUUAAAAAGCUCGUAGUUGAAUUUCGGGGUUAGUAGGUUGGUCAUGCCUCUGGUAUGUACUGGUCUCACUGAUUCCUCCUUCCUGAUGAGCCGUAAUGCCAUUAAUUUGGUGUUGCGGGGAAUUUGGACUGUUACCUUGAAAAAAUUAGAGUGUUUAAAGCAAGCUAACGCUUGAAUACAUUAGCAUGGAAUAAUGAAAUAGGACGUUCGAUCCUAUUUUGUUGGUUUCUAGGAUUGACGUAAUGAUUAAUAGGGAUAGUUGGGGGCAUUAGUAUUCAAUUGUCAGAGGUGAAAUUCUUGGAUUUAUUGAAGACUAACUACUGCGAAAACAUUUGUCCAAGGAUGUUUUCAUUAAUCAAGAACGAAAGUUAGGGGAUCGAAGACGAUCAGAUACCGUCGUAGUCUUAACCGUAAACUAUGCCGACUAGGGGAUCGGAUGAUGUUUAAAUUUUUUUAAACUUGACUCAUUCG
rnacentral:rRNA from 1 species